GCAGAGGCUACACAGCAUGCAGGCUGCCGGGCAGGGUGUGGAAGGCCAGCAUCAGAACACUGAGAGGGACUAUACAAGAUCGUAUGACUGAGUGGGAGAUGGAAUUUGCAGGUGAUGCUCCCACUCUCCCAAAGCUAACUUCACUGCAUGAUAGACUCUUCAACAUGGAGACCCGGAUUAAGAAGGCAGCGCUAUGGAAAGUCACCAACUAUCUUCUCAGCAGAAAACCCACCCGUCAUCUCACACAUGGGGCUGACUAUCUGAGGGCCACUUAACUGGACAUACGGCCCAAGUCACAGGCAACCAAGAAGUUGAUGUUUCUAAAGGUGAAUGUGCAAAGACACGAUGGAGCCGGACCGGGGACAACAGUCAACAUCAGACUUUUAAAAUAAGAUUAUUUUGUUAUGACUUUAACAUUAAGUAUUCAGCUAUUCCCUCUACUACUGUUCCACAGAUUAACAAUUAGGUUUCUUGACUGGUUGGUUUUCAGCUUCUACUAAUGACUCUACUGAUUAUACCAGGAACAUACAUUUUUUUAAAACUAGAAAUGAUUGGUUCUUUGGCAUCCCAAUGUCUACUUUUCAGGCAACAUUAAAAUAUUAGUUUUAAUAUGUAUCUUUCCUCCUAACUAUAUUAUUGUUUCAUCAACUCUUACAUAAAAAUUAUUUUGCCUCAAUU
rnacentral:lncRNA from 1 species